rnacentral:SRP_RNA from 1 species
UCCAAGCCCUCCGCGUGACGGCAUCCAGGCCAAUUCCCCCAGGACGGAAACGUAGCAAGGGUAACCGGGCUCUGUCGGGUGCGCGGAGGGUCUUUUCUUU